UACGUGGGGUGCAAGCGUUGUUCGGAAUUACUGGGCGUAAAGCGCGUGUAGGCGGCGCACUAAGUUCGAUGUGAAAGCCCUGGGCUCAACCCAGGAACUGCAUUGAAAACUGGUGUGCUUGAGUCCGGGAGAGGGUCGCGGAAUUCCAGGUGUAGCGGUGAAAUGCGUAGAUAUCUGGAGGAACACCGGUGGCGAAGGCGGCAUCCUGGACCGACAUUGACGCUGAGGCGCGAAAGCCAGGGGAGCAAACGGG
rnacentral:rRNA from 1 species